GCUUACUGAUACCUCUGACACAGGCUUCAGGGUUUGUUUUAGGAAGUUUUUUGCAAACUACAUUAAGCAAGCCUGGCUGUGUGCAACCACUAGGGUCAGACUCCUGUAGCUCUCUCCUUCUGGUAUAUGGAAGAGAAUGACCAUUCACAGCAGAAACAAAGACUGCACUUAAGUCUCUUGGGCAUCAGCAAGUUGCUCUGACAUAAUCUCACCUUCAUUUUCCAACAAAUGGGGUCUGUGAGCCUCCAGAGGUCCUGACAACUGCAGUAAAGUCAUGUACUUCUCCAGAGAACUGGGAAUGAUGAUGAGUUUGAAAAGGAAUCCAGAGACAGCCUGUGAAUUCCCCUGUCCAUGGCUGAACAAGGGUAAAUAAUAAGGCAGCACUGUGUCAUGGAUUCAAACCGAGACUCCAGCUCUUAACAAUGAUUGAAAGCCCCCACGGGUGUGUGGAGAAGUCAGAGACAACAGCACAUCAAUUAUGAAGCCCUGCACUUUAUCUACUGCUGGCAAAAGAAAAGGUUAAUUAUCUAAAAAUAAAGCAACUGUAUGCUGGUGUAGGAGGGUGAACUCGAAGGAGGGCUGUGGAACAAACAAGAUAAGGUUGUGAUCUACAAUGUUAGAAGACUGAAGCUGAAACUGUCCAGUAUAACCUAUCACCCACAGGCAAAUUGCAUGCCUGAAAACUCUUGACUAAAAUAAAUGGACUACGUCAUGUCUUUUAAUAAGCCUUUUCUGACUCUGACAUUGAAACCAACAGGUGCCCAGGAACCAAAGACAUUCAUACCCAUUUAGCUACUCCAAGGCUGUACAUGUUCAAAUGACUUAUCACAGCACAGCAAGCCAAGGACUUGAGGACUGAGAUCAGAGCUGAAUUUCUUUAAUAUUUCUGCUGCCAGUAACUUUUUGCAGGUGUGAAUUUGAGACCACAUCUCUCCAAAGCACUGUUAUGUUUAGGGUUUUACUCUCCAUGAGCAUCCAUGAAUCACAAAAGAUCUGGGGAGUUGAGGAAGCACCAGAAAGUUUGGGAUGAGGUUCACCACUGCAGACACACAGGCAGGGAGCUGGCAUCCUUCAGUGUUUGUUGAGACUGUUGUACUAGAGAAAAACUCAGUAACCAUCAGUGGCUCUGCCAUGGGAAUCCAAACAGGCAAGGCUACUACAUAAGAAGAGCAAGAAAGAAGCUACACUCAUCUAGUUUGCCUUCCUUACUUUGAAGGCCUGCCAGGCAGCCGAGGACCUGACAAAUAGGCCCCAGCUACAUAUUUAUGGCAGCAACUCCUCCAGCCUGGGAGCUAAGAGAGCAUGAGGCAUAUGGAGUUAAUACCACUGAGUGAAAAGGAAAAUCACCAAUAAGUCCAAUAGGACUCUAACAGAGUCUUUAAUAUAGACCUUAAACACAGAGCCUGGAAUAUGUUUCUUUAAUGUUAAUUUUUUCAAAGUCCUUCAUUCCACUGGAACAAAAUUUUGAGGGUCCAUGAAUACUUUGGGUUUUAUAGCAGCUGAAAUGAUCAAAAAUCAUUACAGGUGUUUGCUGAAUUCUAUGCAACUCCCUCCAAGGAAAGAAGGGUGAAAUGCCAUCUCUGUAUAAAUAA